CCUACGGGAGGCAGCAGUGGGGGAUAUUGCACAAUGGGGGAAACCCUGAUGCAGCGACGCCGCGUGUGGGAAGGCGGUCCUCUGGGUUUUAAGCCACAGUCCCCAGGGACGAGGAUGACGGUACCUGGGGAGGAAGCUCCGGCUAACUACGUGCCAGCAGCCGCGGUAAUACGUAGGGGGCAAGCGUUGUCCGGAAUUACUGGGUGUAAAGGGGGCGUAGGCGGGACUGCAAGCUGGGUGUCAAAUCUACCGGCUCAACCGGUGGCCGCACUUUAAACUGCAGUGCUUGAGUGAAGGAGGGGCAGGCGGAAUUCCUAGUGUAGCGGUGAAAUGCGUAGAUAUCAGGAGGAACACCAGUGGCGAAGGCGGCCUGCUGGGCUGUGACUGACGUUGAGGCUCGAAAGUGUGGGGAGCAAACAGGAUUAGAUACCCGUGUAGUC
rnacentral:rRNA from 1 species